rnacentral:rRNA from 1 species
GACGAACGCUGGCGGCGUGCUUAACACAUGCAAGUCGAACGGAAAGGCCUUUUCGGCGGUACUCGAGUGGCGAACGGGUGAGUAACACGUGGGUGAUCUGCCCUGCACUCUGGGAUAAGCCUGGGAAACUGGGUCUAAUACCGGAUAGGACCGCACUUUAGUGUGUGUGGUGGAAAGUUUUUUCGGUGUAGGAUGAGCCCGCGGCCUAUCAGCUUGUUGGUGGGGUAAUGGCCUACCAAGGCGGCGACGGGUAGCCGGACUGAGAGGUUGGUAGGCCACAUUGGGACCGAGAUACGGCCCAGACUCCUACGGGAGGCAGCAGUGGGGAAGAUUGCCCAAUGGGCGCAAGCCUGAUGCAGCGACGCCGCGUGGGGGAUGACGGCCUUCGGGUUGUAAACUCCUUUCGCCAGGGACGAAGCGUUUUGUGACGGUACCUGGAGAAGAAGCACCGGCUAACUACGUG